rnacentral:rRNA from 1 species
CUGCCCUUUGUACACACCGCCCGUCGCUACUACCGAUUGAAUGGCUCAGUGAGGCGUCCGGACUGGCCCAGAGAGGUGGGCAACUACCACUCAGGGCCGGAAAGCUCUCCAAACUCGGUCAUUUAGAGGAAGUAAAAGUCGUAACAAGGUCUCCGUUGGUGAACCAGCGGAGGGAUCAUUACCGAGUUUACAACUCCCAAACCCCUGUGAACAUACCACUUGUUGCCUCGGCGGAUCAGCCCGCUCCCGGUAAAACGGGACGGCCCGCCAGAGGACCCCUAAACUCUGUUUCUAUAUGUAACUUCUGAGUAAAACCAUAAAUAAAUCAAAACUUUCAACAACGGAUCUCUUGGUUCUGGCAUCGAUGAAGAACGCAGCAAAAUGCGAUAAGUAAUGUGAAUUGCAGAAUUCAGUGAAUCAUCGAAUCUUUGAACGCACAUUGCGCCCGCCAGUAUUCUGGCGGGCAUGCCUGUUCGAGCGUCAUUUCAACCCUCAAGCACAGCUUGGUGUUGGGACUCGCGUUAAUUCGCGUUCCUCAAAUUGAUUGGCGGUCACGUCGAGCUUCCAUAGCGUAGUAGUAAAACCCUCGUUACUGGUUUCAUCGCGGCCACGCCGUUAAACCCCAACUUCUGAAUGUUGACCUCGGAUCAGGUAGGAAUACCCGCUGAACUUAAG